GAUGAAGAACGCAGCGAAAUGCGAUAAGUAAUGUGAAUUGCAGAAUUCAGUGAAUCAUCGAAUCUUUGAACGCACAUUGCGCCCGCCAGCAUUCUGGCGGGCAUGCCUGUUCGAGCGUCAUUUCAACCCUCGACUUCCCUUUGGGGAAAUCGGCGUUGGGGACCGGCUGUAUACCGCCGGCCCCGAAAUGAAGUGGCGGCCCGUCCGCGGCGACCUCUGCGUAGUAAUCCAACUCGCACCGGAACCCCGACGUGGCCACGCCGUAAAACCCCCGACUUCUGAACGUUGACCUCGGAUCAGGUAGGAAUACCCGCUGAACUUAAGCAUAUCAAUAAGCGGAGGA
rnacentral:misc_RNA from 1 species